UUAUUAUAUAAGUGAAAUACACUCCACCUGGUUCACUUUACUGGCUCCAACGCCCUUUCAUUGCUAAGGUCUGCUGACUUUGCUUGGUGUGUAUGAGGAAGAUGCUGCAGCAAUAUAUUAAACUAAUUUACACCAAAAAAGCAGAGAUAAACGAGCCAGUAACGUUGCAGCUUAUCAAUACCAACAUUACAAUCUUUAAUAAUUUAGCCGUGGGGCUCAUUUUAUACCCAUCCCUAAAAGAAACAUAACAGUUUGUCAAGACCACCACCUAUAGCAAUGUUUCUUUAACUUAACAAUACUGAGACAAGACUGUCAAUUUUACAUUUACUCAUUUGGUAGAUGCUUUUAAAGCAACCUACAUUUCAGGAACUAAAAGCAUUAUGAAAGCAAGAUUAAUUUUACUAAGUUAGCUAACAUAACAGCCAAACACACUUUUGAAAGGGCUGUGAAAGUAAAUCAGUAAGGUACCACUACUUACUACUAAAUAGGCAGUUACUUAUUCAUGGAACACUAAUUUGUACAUCAAGCUAAAGUAAGCUUGUUCAACAUUAACCAACUCCUCAGACAUGGACUCUGACAUUUUAACUGAUAUAUGGAAGAUUCCAAAUAUUACAACAGAAUUACUCUUCCACGGUGACAAUGUUAACGUUACCUCUUGCCAACACGGUUUAAUUUGACAUUAACUAGUAAUGCAACUUCACUUCUCAAUUACAUGGCACAUUUAAGAUAAUCUAAACUAACCAUGUUCCGUACACUUUUCGCCUUUCACCGCACGUCAACGCCCACUCCUCUGUUAGUGAGAGCCAGACAAGCACGUCUGUGUGCGCAUUCUCUGGCAGGCUGCCAGCGGUAAUCCGUACAGAUCUCAUACCUUGAUUACAACUGCGAAAAUUUACUUUAAACGGAUAAUUUUUGAGUUUAUUUCUUUUAACGGAAGAGUAUACUAUUGAAAUCUAUAAGAAAGACAACAUUUAUGGCAAAGUGUCACUUCCUCCACCCCAGCGCACUCGAAGUGGAACCACAGUUGGCAAAGGUCACACUGCACCCAUUCGUCAAUGGCCCCAUCUCCUGAGCCAGGUGGGACCACUCUACUGCAGACAGCGCAGUGUUCCCCAUCUUCCUCGGUUGGAGAUGGUGCCUGUUUCUUCUGCCUUUUGGUCUCCUGUGCUUGUCUGUUUUCCUCCUUCUUUGCCAUAUCUUCCUGGCGCUUUCUCUUCUCUUCUUCCUUCUCUUUCUCCUCUGCUUCUUUCUCCUCUAGCAGGUUAACGUACUGGUCACUGGUGAUGACACGGGCUGGCAGCAGAAGGCGACGCCUUACCUUCUCCUUCCUGUCCAAGGCUGGGCUCAUGAGUACGUUGGCCAGACUUUCCGGAAUGACACCUGCUGCCACCAGUAGGUGGAUCGCUGGUUGUGUGUGUGUGAGUAGCAGUUGCACUGGAUGGCGUGGCUGAGGGAGUGAUGGAUGGCGUGGCAUCCCUUCGGUCAGCAGAUGGGAGCACUCUCACCACUCUCACCACCACAACCCCCCUGGACAGAGGAUAGAUGCCUGCCUUGCGGAACCCAGCCUUAAUAUUUUGGGCAUUGACAGCAGUGGGGUAGGCAUUCCUCAGCAGAGAAGAAAACUGCUUCUUCCCGACCACAAGAUCCCCUCGCACUAGACCCAUCCUGGAAGCCAUGGUGGAGAAAGCAGUCUUGAGGGGAUUAAAGACAGCAAUAUCCAGGAGGAACACCACGAGAUGCAAGCCAACCUUCUGUGACCUCCCAGUGAACCUGCUAGUGGAUGACUGACAUCUUCAAAACCUGCAAUGCAAGUACUCGGUGUACUCACAGAAAUGUCAACAAACAAGUAGUAUGAAAUGUUCAGUGACCUGUUCGCGUUGGCUGAGGAGUAUGAGGAUUCCCAGACCAAGUCUCCCAAGUCCACCCUCCACGCCUCACUUCCGCCCACCAACAAUGAGGAGGAGAGCAGUGCCUCAGUACGUAGCCCCACCUCCACCUGCUCCUCUAUGCGAGGACAACCGGAAUCUGCGUCUCGUUGUUUGAUUGGUCCGUUUCAAAACCACACAGAAAUCUGAUAUUUAAUGUGUCUGAUUUGUGAAACCAGGAAGCAGCUUUGUGUCUUCACCAAGCAGGAACCUCCAGGUUUGAAAAGUUACGCCUCAAACCUGCAUACUCUCUAACAGCCAGCAGGGGGCGACUCCACUGGAUCAUAUAGAAGUCAAUGAGAAAAUGUGGCUACUUCUCAGCUGAUUUAUUACCUCAGUAAACACUUUCCUAAUGAGUUUAUGGUCUCAGUCGCUAGUUUCAAGUGUUCUUCAACACAACAUUAUAACUAUAAUUUAUAGUAUUAAAUUAUGGUCCCAUUUAGAGGAAAAUAAACCAGAAAGCAGGGGAGGCUUUAGGGCGGGGCUACCUUGUGAUUGACAAGUCGCUAUGUGUGAAAUAUGGUACCCCAUGGAUGUUCAGUCUGUGUUCAGGACGGAGCUGAACACCUCUUUUCUCCAAGCUGGACAGGUAGGCUGGAAUAAAAUACAGCUGCUCAUUAUUUUCUAUAAAUUGAAAUCAAAGACAUUCUGUUAGCUUCCUGGUCAGCUUCCAGUCUGAAGGGGAGAUGUUUGUUAACCUGCUUCACUUCUUUCACCCUUUGGCUUCUCCAGACUUUUGUUGGUCUGGAGAAGCUGAAGCAUUUAUUGCCUGACACACAGACACCGUACUUUUACUGCCAGAAUAUUUUCUUCUCUGAGAUUCACUGUCACUUUCUGUCACUCGGACAAUCAAACACUCUAAGACCUCCCAGAUUAAAGGAGCUGCUCUGAUAACAGCACCUGUCAGAUAGACGUCCUGCACUUUUUUUCGGCAGGGUCUUAAAGUCUUAUAUUCGCUGAAGUUUCUGUUCUAGGUCUUAAAUAAUUUUAAAUGGGUAUUUAUUUUCCAACAUCCAUGUAACGCUGCCUCAUUGAAAUGCCCCCGCAGCGCUCAAGAAUGUUUUCCUCCCGUGGUGGUGUAGUUCUUUCUGUUGCUAGUCCAAAUCGGUACAAAUAUAAUUCACUAUAUUUUGAAUACAUAGACUAACAGGCAGCUUUGGUGUUAUUGCUGCAAGUCUCUUUCGGAAUAUACCACAGAUAUAAAACGGAUUUAUUCUUCAGCUAUGGGGAAGUGCAACCUUAAUUUCUACAAAUGUAUAAAGUGGCAAAUUAAGACAAGGCAAACAUGAAUAAUCCCAUCUGUAAUGAUUCUGAGGUCAUGUGUUUUCCUGCCAUUAUAAGGUGGUGAGGCUGAAAAUAGCUUGGUGCUGCGCAAUGAAUAUAAAAUCACUGGAGAGCAUCAAGACUAACCAAAUGAAUUUUCCCAGAUCUACUGGUUAGAAUUCAACCCCAGUAGACUUAUUUAGCAAGUUUAGCUUUUGGGGUGUCGUUUAUUCCAAAUCAGCUGUAGAAUUUCCUACAUAUUCACAGAUGUGGUAAUAACAAUGUUACAAAAUUGUGUGGAAUUGCAUAUUUCUUUGUUGGAAAACAUAAUUUUCUUGGGGGAGGACCCCCAAUCCCCCACACAAACAUACCAUCUUAAUCUUUUUACAAUAUAAGGCCCCGUGAAAGCAUGUUUUAAUCCCCAUGGACAUUAUUUCUAUUAUUAUUAUUUGUAAAUGUACCUGCAUUGCGCCUGCCUCGCGCCUGCCUCAACUUCUCCCUGCACUCACACACACACGCACACACACACCUUUACCUCUUGUCUCUCACUGCAAACACACCGGCUUUCCCUGCUUCUCUAUGUCUCCCUGUCUGCUCCCCGGAGUUUAUCCAUCAGCAGUACUUAUGUUUUAUAAAGUCACCGAAAAGACACAGAAUUCUUUCCCCCCUGAAACCUGCAGAAACCCUGAUUGUUCCAUUACCACGUCUACUGACUUAAAUAUUUGCAUAGUGUGAGACUUCUUAUUUUAAACAAUCUUUAUUAGCCAUCUUUAUUUGCUUAUGAUUCCAUGAAACUCCACAUUUUAAGCUCCCUUUAUAUUUUUUAAGUAAAAGUGCUGCUGAUGGAAUAAAAUUACGCAUAGUUGCUUUUUACACAAAACACAGUAAAGUAAGUAGUAAAAGAAAAUUUUAUUUAACUCAAGAGAUUCAAGUUAUUAUCACUUAACACCAAAAGAUCUCAUUAAGAAUCUAGAAAUAGAGAAUGUUCAACAUUAUUGCAAAAAAGAGUGAAAACAAACUGAUUAUCAAAAUUGUUGCUCGUUAAUUAUCUGAUCAAGCAGUCACUUACUUUGUCUAUUUAACUUUAUGCAAGAUGUGCCUUAUUUUGUGUCUGUUAAAUGUAGAAAUGACAGACGAUGUGAGAAGAUCAUACUAAUAAAGAGAACUUGAAUUGUAA